AGGCGUCGCCCCGACGCUCCCGGAGGUGAGCACGGAGACAGGCGUAGAUCGUUACUUGGCUGGAUCAGGCCAGCGCCGAGAAGGUGCCGAUCCCGAAGAUGGUGAGCGCAGUGCAUAAGUGUCGCUGCUGGCCAUCACCGUGUUGCGUUUGCCCAA
rnacentral:sRNA from 1 species